UGUGUCAUAACUCGGUAUGAUUGUGUGAAUUGCAAGAUGUGCAAUGAAAAUAAGUUUGGGGUGGAAAUUUUGAAAGGGAAGGCAAGUGCAUAAGAUGAGAUCAUACAAAAAGAAAAACAGUAUGUAUGUCAUUUAUAAGAAAAAAAAAAAAAAUAAGAAAAGAAAAAAUGCACUUGCCGAGACCUUAGAGAUAUGAAAGGCUCGGAAAGAAAAAA
rnacentral:lncRNA from 1 species